rnacentral:lncRNA from 1 species
AAAGCCACCACUGGAAAAAUGAAAGGACAACUGAACAAGAAAGUACUGUGGUAUUUUCUUUGAAAUUGUAUCUUCUUUAUAGCACAAGGAAGUUACAAAUGUGAAAGGUCAUCAAUAUGAUUGACUCAGCAAAACCACAUCAAUGCCCACACCAACUGACAUGCUAACACAGGGAGCUCAAAGUGCCUUGUAGAUGUUAUCACAUGAAUCUUCUUGCUGUCCCAGUGUGGCCAGGAACAAAUAGUCUGCCAUCCUGGAAACCAGACUGAGAAAGUCAUUAGCAGGGACCAUAGGAUACACAGCAGUCUCCAUAAAGGAUGGAUGCAGUGCAUGUUGUUGCAGUGGUUUGUGUAAGUUCAUAUCCUAACAGCAUCAUUUGAAUGGAUGGUAAGUGAUUGAU